GUCAGACUGCAGCUCUCACACUUGCCAAAAAAAGAGACCCUUUAUUAAGAGGAGUCCCUCAGAGCCAGCCCAGACCACAACUGAACACCCCCAGUGUGGCUGCUACAGCUGAAACAAUGUAGUGUUCCUCAUGACCAGGAUGAUCCAG
rnacentral:lncRNA from 13 species